rnacentral:rRNA from 1 species
GAUGAACGCUGGCGGCGUGCCUAAUACAUGCAAGUCGAGCGAACGGACGAGAAGCUUGCUUUUCUGAUGUUAGCGGCGGACGGGUGAGUAACACGUGGAUAACCUACCUAUAAGACUGGGAUAACUUCGGGAAACCGGAGCUAAUACCGGAUAAUAUUUUGAACCGCAUGGUUCAAAAGUGAAAGACGGUCUUGCUGUCACUUAUAGAUGGAUCCGCGCUGCAUUAGCUAGUCGGUAAGGUAACGGCUUACCAAGGCAACGAUGCAUAGCCGACCUGAGAGGGUGAUCGGCCACACUGGAACUGAGACACUGUCCAGACUCCUACGGGAGGCAGCAGUAGGGAAUCUUCCGCAAUGGGCGAAAGCCUGACGGAGCAACGCCGCGUGAGUGAUGAAGGUCUUCGGAUCGUAAAACUCUGUUAUUAGGGAAGAACAUAUGUGUAAGUAACUGUGCACAUCUUGACGGUACCUAAUCAGAAAGCCACGGCUAACUACGUG